rnacentral:lncRNA from 1 species
AAUUGAUCAUGGGUUCAAGUGUCAGAAUUUACGUUUACAGAAUAAAGCUUAGUCUUUGUUGAAGGUAGUCCAUGUGCAUGCUAGAGUUUUGGGCUAGGGACUAUGUGUGUAAGGCAGUUUGACAGCUCAGCCUAGAAGCACUGUCAUGGUGGGGCAUCGGUGAAUUAGACAUCCCUCACAUAAUAUAUGCAAUAUAUUCCAGAUGUUUUGAGAGAUUACAGAAGAAGAGGCCUGCUUCACUUGCAGAUAAGUUUAUUACAAUUCUCCAGAACUACAGAGGAUGUGCACUGGCACCUCGCAUUGUAUUUAUAGGUUAAUUUUUCAUGUGUGAAACCUUGAUCUUAAGAUUUUGGGCUGGGAUGUAACUCAGUUUGUAGAGAGCCUGUCGAGGGUGCAGUAACACUGGGGGUUAGUUCCCAGCACUGAUAACUGGGUUUAGUACCCCAUACCUGUGAUCCCCAAGAUC